UGGNNNNUUUAUCAUGGCUCAGGAUGAACGCUAGCGGCAGGCCUAAUACAUGCAAGUCGGACGGGAUCCAUCGGAGAGCUUGCUCGAAGAUGGUGAGAGUGGCGCACGGGUGCGUAACGCGUGAGCAACCUACCUCUAUCAGGGGGAUAGCCUCUCGAAAGAGAGAUUAACACCGCAUAACAUAUUUGNCCGGCAUCGGUUAGUUAUUAAAUAUUUAUAGGAUAGAGAUGGGCUCGCGUGACAUUAGCUAGUUGGUAGGGUAACGGCUUACCAAGGCGACGAUGUCUAGGGGCUCUGAGAGGAGAAUCCCCCACACUGGUACUGAGACACGGACCAGACUCCUACGGGAGGCAGCAGUAAGGAAUAUUGGUCAAUGGGCGGAAGCCUGAACCAGCCAUGCCGCGUGCAGGAUGACUGCCCUAUGGGUUGUAAACUGCUUUUGUCCAGGAAUAAACCUANAUACGUGUAUUUAGCUGAAUGUACUGGAAGAAUAAGGAUCGGCUAACUCCGUGCCAGCAGCCGCGGUAAUACGGAGGAUCCGAGCGUUAUCCGGAUUUAUUGGGUUUAAAGGGUGCGUAGGCGGCCUAUUAAGUCAGGGGUGAAAUACGGUGGCUCAACCAUCGCAGUGCCUUUGAUACUGAUGGGCUUGAAUCCAUUUGAAGUGGGCGGAAUAAGACAAGUAGCGGUGAAAUGCAUAGAUAUGUCUUAGAACUCCGAUUGCGAAGGCAGCUCACUAAGCUGGUAUUGACGCU
rnacentral:rRNA from 1 species